rnacentral:lncRNA from 1 species
GAAGUUGAAUUUGUCGAUGGAUCACUUUUAAAAUUGAAAAGUUAUAUUGAAGUGUAUUUGGAGCAACCCAUGGAAUUUAAAUUACUUUUGGUUGAAAAGGAUUCUGAGGAGAUUGUAUGGAAAGCAAAGCUGAGAGAGUGUGAGUGUUUUGUCUCUUGAAUUAAAACUCUGGUUUCGGGGGAGGAAGCAGACAGUGGUCUGUCGCAUCACUAUGUUACUUCUUAAUCACAACAAAUGCCACAGUACUAAAGGUAUUUAACAUGUAGUGACCUGAAUAACAGGUGUUCUUCUAGACCAAAUCUCUUGGUAGUUUUAAAGAUCACUUUUUAAAGACCACUCACUCUGUGUUUAAACUCAUUUGAUGAUAUUCGGCAUUGUAAGAGAAUGCUGGUUUACAUUAUUUUGGGGGCUUAAACCUAAUGAUUAACCGAAGUUGCCCAUAACCCAUUAAGGCAUCUUCACUAAAGGGACCAACAGAAGCCCUGCCUAAGGCAUAGGCACCUGUUAGAGCAGGGACUGAAUGUCACAGGGCGAAUCACAAUGAAGUGUCCAGAAAGAACCCCCCAGCGCAGAAUGAAAAUACGUAUAUGAAAUUGUUUUGUGUGGAGUAUAUGUAAGUUCACUUAAAAUUGAAAGAUGUUUAUUUUUAUGGCUUCCUUCUCCAUAUGGCAUGUGAUGCCAGUGUUCUAUCUACAUAGUUAUAGAUUUAAAGAAAUACAGAGCAAAUGAUAUUUCACCUGGCAUAUGGGUUUGGCAUAUAUAUGGUAUGCAGAUGACUGAUGUUUGGCAAACACUUGUCCCACAAGAUGUUUUGGAAGGAGUACUUUUUUAUUUAUCCUGAAAGGUCAAGCUGAGUGUAUUGCAUACAUACUAAGUUAAAACUCAAGACUCGUAUUCGAACUUCAGAAGAUUGCCAGGAACCCAGUGCUUUCACAGAUCUAUUGCCUUAAUUCCAAUUUUAGAUCACCUUUCCAAUUGCUACUUAUUGUACUUUAACAGGUGACUGGGUUCAGCAUGAUCAGAAUCAAAACGUUUCAAAAAGCAACACAAGUGGUAAGUGCUUGGAACCAGACAUUAAACUCUUCCAUCCCUUCCAUCCACUAGAAUUUUAAUUUUGCUGUGCAAAUACAGUAGUGUCAAGGAUCUAAGUCUUUCAUAACUCUUUAAUUAGCUGAAGGACCUUUGAAUCCAUUUGUUCAAUUUGUUUCUAUCUGAAUGAUGAUGUAAAAAAAAAAUCCAGUUUGAAGUUGGGUAGAUAGUAAGAGCAUAAAGGAAAGCCAAUUUGUUGUUGUUGUUUUUUAAAGGUAACAGGCGACGAAAAAUGAGUAGCAGCUUACCUGAUGAAGUGGUCUAUGAUAAAAGAAUGAAGCAGUUUGACACUUCAGGUUUGUAAAAAUGUUGUCCAUGGCUCUCAGUCAUUUUCCCUGUCUCCCCUAUUGACAUUCAACCAACACGGGUGCUUUUGGGGUCAGUCUUCCUGGAGCUACAUCCCAGGUAUUCCUUCCCUCCCAGAUAAGGUCCCUGUGUCCCUGCUUCUCAGGCCUGAAUUAUGGUCCUCCUUGGUCUGCCCCAGCAGACGUUUCCAGCUUGACUGCCCACUCUUCCCCUUUGCUUGGCGAAAGUAGAAUGAAGGGCCAGGGGAAGCUCCUGCAGCCUGUGGUGGGAAGGGCCAGGGCCUGUCCAUCUGCCCAUUUCCCGUAGCACUGAGGCUUUCGGCCUCUGAUGCAGAAGACCAUGAAUGUCCAUUGAAAGAGUGAAUUGUGAAUGUCUGUGUGUGCAUUCACUGGCCUCAUGGCUAUUAGCUAUGUCAUGGGAGGGAGCUGCCAGCUUGGUUUUUGAAGACAAGGGCCAACCUAAUUUCUUUCAGUUAAAUGACAGAGACCAAGGCUUGAUAGUUGUAAAAAGACCAUUGAGGUUCAAACAUUUAACAAUAGUACUCCAAGGAGCCAGAAGAUGGAGUAUGUACCUCAAAAUUCAAGUCGAGCCAGAAUUCACACGUUUAAGUUAAAAAACCCAGACUCAAAUUAUGAGACCGGGUCUCAAGGCUUUGGGGGCCUUAUAUAGAUUCACGUUUUUAUCAAAAUACCUUUUUUUUUUUUUUUUGUCUUCCUAGGGCUGCACCCAUGGCAUAUGGAAGUUCCCAGGUUAGGGGUCCAAUCAUGCACAGCAGCAUCAGAUCCAAGCCUCAUGGCAACACUGGAUCCUUAACCCACUGAGCAAGGCUGGGGAUCAGACCUACAUCCUCAUGGAUACUAGUUGGGUUUGUUAACUGCUUAGCCAUGAUGGGAACUCCCAAAAUAUCUUUAAUUUACAGUUAUAAGGUGGUAUGAAGCUCUAAAUGCAGAUAAAACUCUUGCUCUAUAGACCAAAAUAAGAUAUUCUUUAUUUGCUAGAGCAGGAGGUGGUGAGGGUGAUAUAUGUCUGAUUUUACUCUGUGUCACUAGAGACAUGUUUAUUAUAUCUAUUAAGUGAACAUCAAAAUAAGCGAAGCUCAAGAAUUAUUUUUAAAACCAGCCAAGGAGUUCCCAUGGUGGCUCAUUCGGUUAUGAACCUGUCUAGAACUAGUAUCCAUAAGAACGAGGGCUCGAUCCCUGGUCUCCUUCAGUGGGUUAAGUGAGCUGUAGUGUAGGUUACAGGUGCGUCUCAGAUCCUACAUAACUAUGGCUGUGGUGUAGGCCAGUGGCUACAGCUCUGAUUUGACCCCUAGCCUGGGAACCUCCAUAUGCUGUAGGUGUAGACCUAAAAAACAAAACAAACAAAACCCGUAAAUAUUAGCUCAAGUACAAGUAGCUAGAAAUAGAAUUAAAAUUAUCAAAUAGUACCUACAAAGAUUAAAAGCUUCCUACUUUUUUAGAGUUGACAGUGUGGUGUCAAAUAAAUUAAUACUUACUUUUGUUUAGGUAUUUACCCAACAAUUGUUGAGAUAUUGUAUCACUAUCCGUGUAGUUUCAGACUCCAUGUAUCACCAUGUUGCUUUUAAAAAUAUGAUCAUCUCUCAACCUUAACAGAAUCACUUUGAGAUCUUAUUAAGCUCUAGAUUCAGAGUCUGGUUCAGUAGGUUUGAGGAUGAUCCUGAGAACUUGUGUUUUUGAUGGGUUCCCUGUGCAGUUUUCGUUGUAGCCGUUUGAGAGGAAGGAGCCCCCCCACCUCAGGAGACCACCAUAGGGCAGGGGCCACCCUUCAGAACCCAUUCUUCAGUCUAGAAAGUCAGAGAGGAAACUGAGGUGAGUUAGGGUCUAAAACAAAUGUUUGGCUCACAUCAAUGGAUUGUUAGCUGUAGCUGAGCAAAAGGGUUACUGCCCGGGAGGAGGGGCAGUAAGGAUUCUUCCUUCCUCUCCCUCCCGUCUAAUGUCACAUUUGGUGUUUCUAAGGCCUGGAAGAUCCUUAACCUAGAUUUUGCAGCCAGUGGGCUUUGCUGCACCGUAGUUCAACCGGCUAAAAAGUGUGAACGAAGAAAAUCUAGCCUACUGCUAGGGCAGAUGUUUUUAAUGGAGCCAGUGGUUUGCAUUGGCAAACACAUGCUGUUCCAAGAUUAUGACACUGUGACUUAGCAACAGGUAUUACAAAUACCAUCCCCUGAUGUUUGUGUGGAAUGUGCUUUUUUGUCUAAUGCCAGGAGAUGGCGUAAUGGAGCCUGCAAUUCAUAUCUCUUGCUGUCUUCUUUAGUGACCACUAAAGGUAGCAUUUUGUGUGUGGCAUUAAGACUUAGAUAAAGAUGCAGAGGUGAGCAAGGCAAAAGCUGUAUAUUUUUCUUUUUGAGCCACAUAAAUGAUUUUUGACGCCUGAUUUUUUUUCUUACUCCAACCUAAUUUGUGCUGCUUUGUAAAAUAAUUUUACUCCUUGAAUUAUUGAAUUAUCAUUGUGAGCAAUUUAAUACCCGAAUUUUAUGUUAUGUGAAAUUGUUCCCUUCAGUCCUUAAGAUAGUUUGGAAAGCAGGGAUUUUUUUGGCACUUAAAUAUAUUUUAAAAGCUUUUAUUAAAGUUUUGAAUCACAGGUUUUUUAAUAUAAAGAGAAUGCAUUUUCAUUAUAAUUUGCUAUAAAUGAUUGAAAUGUUGAGAAGAACUACUGAAUUCUUCACCUGCUUUUAGAUGGAGCGAAGACUAAAACCUUGUUAACAGACACUCAGUUGUUUGACCUUGCUGAGAAGUUGGGGAAGGAGUGGAUGAAAAUUGCCAUUGCCAACCUGAAGUUGAAGAUGAGUGAUAUUGAUGCUAUCCUGGAGAAGAAAGAAGAUGUCACCAUGAAUAAGUUUAGGAUGCUAAAGAAGUGGCAAGAAAAGGAGAAGAGUAAUGCGACAGCUCAGAAUUUAUGUAACUGCUUGAAAAACGUCGAUUCGGUUGAGGUCCAAGAUGUGCUGAAAGGUAAGUGGGAAAUUAUCUUAAUUAGUCAUUUACUUGGAAUCAAGCUGUGCCUUUGCAAAUAGCAAAUUUCUGCUAUAGAAUGUGUUGCUUAUUUAUAAACUCGGGUUCAGAGAAUUGUGCAAAUGCAGAAGGAAGAAUGUGGGCUGCUGUAUCUAAGUAAAGGUGAUUUGUGUGUGGAGUCGGUAGACAUACUCAAUUCCCAUCUCAAGGGCUGGCCGUCACAAUUUGUCACUAAGCCAAUUCUGUUGUUGUUUUUUUUAAUUUUAAAUUAUUUAUUUUUUAAAAUUAAAGUAUAGUUGACUUACGGUGUCAUGCCAGUUUUUGCUAGACAGCAAAGUGACUCAUAUAUGCGCACAUUCUUUUUUAUAUUCUUUUCUGUCAUGGUCUGUCCCAGGAGAUUGACUGUAGUUCCCUGUGCUAUGCAGUAGGACUUUGUUGUUUUUCUAUUCUACAUGUAAUAGUUUACAUAUACUCACCCCAAACCCCCAGUGCAUCCUACUUCCUCCUUCCACCCCCUUGGCAACCACAAGUCUGUUCUCCAUGUCUGUGAGUUUGUCUGUUUUGUAGAUAGGUUCAUUUGUGCCAUAUUUUAGAUUCUACAUAUAAGUGAUAUUAUAUGGUAUCCCUCUUUCUUUCUUUUCUUUUUUUUCCUUUCUUUUUUUUUUUUUUUUUUUUUUUUUUUGUCUUUUUAGGGCCACACGUGUGGCAUAUGGAAGUUCUCUGUCUAGGGGUUGAAUCAGAGCUAUAACUGCCAGUCUACGCCACAGCCACAGCAACGUCUACAUUGAGCUGUGUUUGGGACCUACACCAUAGCUCAUGGCAAUGCCAGAUCCUUAACCCACUGAGCAAGGCCUGGGAUCAAACUCGAGUCCUCAUGGUUGCUAGUCAGGUUCAUUACCGCUGAGCCACAACGGGAACUCCCCCCUUUUUUGUCUUUGUCUUUCUCUUUCUGACUUACUUCACUUAGUAUGAGAAUCUCUAGACCCAUCUAUGUUCCAUUGUGUGGUGUGUGUAUUUAUAUAUAUACACAUACCAUAUCUUAAUCCAUUCCUUUGUUGAUGGACAUUUAGGUUGCUUUCAUGUCUUAGUUAUUGUGAAUAGUGCUGCUAAGAACCUAGGGGUGCAUGCAUCUUUUUGAAUGGAAAUUUUGUCUGGAUAUAUGCCCAGGAGUGGGAUUGUGGGAUCAUAUGGUAGCUCUAUAUUUAGUUUUCUGAGGAGCCUCCAUACUGUUUUCCAUAGUAGUUGUACAAAUUUACAUUGCCACCAACAGUGAAGGGGGUUUUCCACACCCUCUCCAGCAUUUAUUAUUUGUAGACUUACUGGCGAUGGCCAUUCUGACCGGUGUGAGGUGGUACCUCAUUGUAGUUUUGAUUUGCAUUCCUCUAAUAAUUAGUGGUGUUGAGGAGCUCCUGCUAUGGCGCAGUGGGAUUGACAGAAUCUUGGGAGCACUGGGAUGCGGGUUCGAUCCAUGGCCCCACACAGUGGAUUAUGUGCAGCUGUGGCUUAGGUGGCUACUGUGGCUUGGAUCUGAUCCCUGGCCUGGGAGGUCCAUGUGCCAUGGGGUGGCCAAAAAUGAAAAAAAAAAAAAAAA